rnacentral:pre_miRNA from 1 species
AAAAUACUCCCUUCGUUCGGAAAUACUUGUCAUUAAAAUGAAUAAAAAAGGAUGUAUCUAGAUGUAUUUUAGUUCUAGAUACAUUUUUUUUGUCCAUUUUGAUGACAAGUAUUUUCGGACGGAUGGAGUAUAUA